rnacentral:rRNA from 1 species
GGCGAACGGGUGAGUAAUAUAUCGGAACGUGCCCUAGAGUGGGGGAUAACUAGUCGAAAGAUUAGCUAAUACCGCAUACGAUCUACGGAUGAAAGUGGGGGAUCGCAAGACCUCAUGCUCCUGGAGCGGCCGAUAUCUGAUUAGCUAGUUGGUAGGGUAAAAGCCUACCAAGGCGACGAUCAGUAGCUGGUCUGAGAGGACGACCAGCCACACUGGGACUGAGACACGGCCCAGACUCCUACGGGAGGCAGCAGUGGGGAAUUUUGGACAAUGGGGGAAACCCUGAUCCAGCAAUGCCGCGUGUGUGAAGAAGGCCUUCGGGUUGUAAAGCACUUUUGUCAGGAACGAAACGGUGGGGGCUAAUAUCCUCUGCUAAUGACGGUACCUGAAGAAUAAGCACCGGCUAACUACGUGCCAGCAGCCGCGGUAAUACGUAGGGUGCGAGCGUUAAUCGGAAUUACUGGGCGUAAAGCGUGCGCAGGCGGUUGUGCAAGACAGAUGUGAAAUCCCCGGGCUUAACCUGGGAAUUGCAUUUGUGACUGCACGGCUAGAGUGUGUCAGAGGGGGGUAGAAUUCCACGUGUAGCAGUGAAAUGCGUAGAUAUGUGGAGGAAUACCGAUGGCGAAGGCAGCCCCCUGGGAUAACACUGACGCUCAUGCACGAAAGCGUGGGGAGCAAACAGGAUU